rnacentral:lncRNA from 1 species
CGCUGACGUCAGGCUGGCGGCGGCCUUCUGCGCAGGUGCCUGCGGUCCUCCGCUUUGGUGUGUGUUAGGCCUAGGCGUUUUCUAAAACCUCAGCGCUGUUAGUACCCCGGGGAACUUGGAGAGGGAAGUAGGCGCUCAAAAAGGAGACGUGGGAAAAAGAAAAGGCGACGUGGGAGAAUGGGCAAGCUGCUCAGGGAGUGGAAACUUAACGGAACAAAAACGCUUCUCAUCCGAAGCUGUCUUCUUAGGUGCAAUAUGUAAACUGUCUUGAAUUCAGCCAUGGAAAGUUAAAUCCUGAAGUUUCAUCUCCCCAGUUCUGGGAUCCCAAGCCAGGAUCUGCCCAGAGCCAGCCUUUUAAAUGAACGUGUCUGUACAGUGGCCAGAAGAAGGCUCUGACCAGCAUGGGCUUUCAUCCCAUCUCCAGCUGGCCUGAAGCUCCUCACUGUGUUGUGACCUCGAGGACGAGGAUGGAAUUCUGGCAUGGAUUCCAAAGGUGUUCAGAAUGGCUGUGUUGCCCAGGUUCCCCUGUACCCCCGUCUGGUACAGCACACACAAGCUAGGCCUGAGAAGUCAGGUGUAUUCACUGAGCACACAUUUCCUUAUUGAGCCCCAGUAAUCCCAUGCCCUGUGCUGGGGUCUGCAGAGAUGAGUUGAAUUUGAUCUCCUCCCUCUAGGUCUUAAAAGAUGGCAAGGAGGUACCAAGGAGGAGUUGAUGAAGUACUAGGAAACAAGCUAGCAACAACAAACAAUAAAAUGAAAAGAAAAAUCACAGAGGUCCUAAAGCCCAAAUUUUCAAGGAACCUGAGCUGAAAGUCAGCUCUGUGGCCAGCUGUAUGCCACAGAGAUAUCCGAG